CUUGGUCAUUUAGAGGANGUAAANGUCGUAACAAGGUUUCCGUAGGUGAACCUGCGGAAGGAUCAUUAUUGAAAUUAUAGGUGAGGGUUGUAGCUGGCCUCUCGGGGCAUGUGCACGCCCGAGCCCUUAAAUCCCACACACACCUGUGAACCUAUUGUAAGGGCCCGUAAAAAAGGCCUUUACGUCUUUAUCACCUACCCGAAGUCUCAUAGAAUGUAAAUGUUAUGUCCUCGCCCUAAAAAAGCGUUGAUAAAAAAAAUUAUACAACUUUCAACAACGGAUCUCUUGGCUCUCGCAUCGAUGAAGAACGCAGCGAAAUGCGAUAAGUAAUGUGAAUUGCAGAUUUUCAGUGAAUCAUCGAAUCUUUGAACGCACCUUGCGCUCCUUGGUAUUCCGAGGAGCAUGCCUGUUUGAGUGUCAUUAAAUUCUCAAACUCUGAUUGAUUUGUUUCAAUCGGAGCUUUGGAUUUGGAGCGUGCCGGCGUCAAGUCGGCUCCUCUUGAAUGCAUCAGCGGAAUCCCAUUCAUUUCGGACGUCAGUGUGAUAAUCAUGUUGCGCUGUCUUUGCGAUCUUGAAAGCCCGCUCACAAUGGUCUUCGGACAAACCUCACAUAUCAUAUUUGACCUCAAAUCAGGUAGGACUACCCGCUGAACUUAAGCAUAUCAAUAAGCGGAGNA
rnacentral:rRNA from 1 species